UUCUUCCAUCUUUCUUCCAUGUGCUUAUAGCUAUAGUCGAAGAAGCUUUCAGCUGCUUCUUUCUGGUUGGCAUGAUCACAACUAUCAGAUACGGCUUGCAAUAUCUUUGCUGCUCGGAUCUGUGAAUCUUUAGACACACCGAUGGUGUUGAUCUCUAUAAAUGUCGUCAUUUUCUUAGCAACUUCUCUAUCUUUAACAAGAGCCCAGCUGCAAAAAAGACCAAAAAUAAAGGACUACCAAUAAGGUGAAAUAAGAAAUUACCCGAUUCGCGUACCAGCAUGGCCAGUACUUUUGGACACGGUGAAGAGCAUAAUAUCAUAGUCUGCAGGCGAGUGAUCUAAAAUCCAAAUACAUGUCUCACAGGCACCAUUCAAACACGGGCAUUAAUGGAAAUGUAAGCACAAGG